rnacentral:rRNA from 1 species
GCUUUGUUUGCGCAGGAUAGGUGGGAGGCGUUGAAAGUUUUCUUGCGGGAAGAUUUGAGCCAUUGGUGAGAUACCACUCUAACAAUGCUAGGAUUCUAACCCUAUGUCGUUAUCCGGCUAGGGGACAGUUUCAGGUGGUCAGUUUGACUGGGGCGGUCGCCUCCUAAAAGGUAACGGAGGCGUGCAAAGGUUCCCUCAGGCUGGUUGGAAAUCAGUCGUAGAGUGUAAAGGCAUAAGGGAGCUUGAUUGUGAGACCUACAAGUCGAACAAAGACGAAAGUCGGCCUUAGUGAUCCGGCGGUACCGAGUGGAAGGGCCGUCGCUCAACGGAUAAAAGUUACUCUAGGGAUAACA